rnacentral:rRNA from 1 species
GACGUAGGGGGCAAACGUUAUCCGGAAUUAUUGGGCGUAAAGAGCGCGCAGGUGGUUGAUUAAGUCUGAUGUGAAAGCCCACGGCUUAACCGUGGAGGGUCAUUGGAAACUGGUCAACUUGAGUGCAGAAGAGGGAAGUGGAAUUCCAUGUGUAGCGGUGAAAUGCGUAGAGAUAUGGAGGAACACCAGUGGCGAAGGCGGCUUCCUGGUCUGUAACUGACACUGAGGCGCGAAAGCGUGGGGAGCAAACAGG